UAUCCUGUGGUAGGUCGGUGUCCGUUACAAUAUUUACGCGUACAAUAUUCUCAUGCUUAUCAUGCCUCCAUGUUUUCGAAAUUACUUACUACUCGCAGAAAAAAUAGUUAAUAUUUCCCGGUACAGACGCUUAUUGAAAUAUAAAGUUAAUAAUAGUCAGUGAGGUGAUUCGCAAUACUAUACAUCAUUGACAACUACAAGCAGAGGUACAUAAUGUUAGAGGUAAAUGUGCUAUAAAUUAUAUACGGAGAACAUAAUUAGAGCGCAGUCCUGAAUUCGCAGAAUAUUACAUUGAGUAACCUUUACAUUGAAUAUUACAGGUUAACUAAUUUAUUUAGUCUUCUUCGGAAGGAGAGUUCGGUCUUAUAUGUGCCAGUUUAAGUUUAUUUGUGUGUACUAUCUUAAAUCUAAUUUUCCCUAGCGCUAAUUCUGCCGUUAAAUCGCUGAAUAAUCGAUUUAUUUUGUGGGGACCUAGCCAAUUACAAUCGAAUUUGGAGGUUUUGGGCUCCUUAAGCAGAUUCUGUGCCGCAGUCGUCUGAGUGGUGGUGAUUUUUUCAAAGAGUUCAUCAAGGUGUUGUGCAAAGGUUCUAGGUGCUAAACUCGUGGAGAAUGUUGAAGGUAUAUUGGCCUUUUCGCUGAAAAUUAAUUCAUGGGGUGUAAAACCAGUGGCCUCAUGCAUAGGAGUGUUAUAUGAAAAAAUACAAAAUCUUAUCCAAUCGUCCCAAUUGGUUUUUGUGCAAUAGUGUUUGAGAAAUUUUUCAUGACUUGACUAACAAAAUUCCUGCCUCGGUCAGUGUGAAUAGUCCUGGGACAUCCAAAUCUACUAAUAAAUUGUUUGGCAAGGGCAUGAGCAACAGUUACUGUAUCUAUGCUACGUAGUGGGAUUGCAUCUGAAUAUUUAGUGAGGUUAUCCUGUAAGGUAAGUAGGUACUGAUUACCUUUAUUAGUUACGGGUAAGGGUCCAACUAU